rnacentral:rRNA from 1 species
CAGCCGCGGGAAUACGUAGGGUGCGAGUGUUAAUCGGAAUUACUGGGCGUAAAGCGUGCGCAGGCGGUUCGUUAAGACAGAUGUGAAAUCCCCGGGCUUAACCUGGGAACUGCAUUUGUGACUGACGGGCUAGAGUAUGGCAGAGGGGGGUAGAAUUCCACGUGUAGCAGUGAAAUGCGUAGAGAUGUGGAGGAAUACCGAUGGCGAAGGCAGCCCUCUGGGCCAAUACUGACGCUCAUGCACGAAAGCGUGGGGAGCAAACAGGAUUAGAUACCCGGGUAGUCCCUGUCUCUUAUACACA